rnacentral:rRNA from 1 species
UACAGAGGGUGCAAGCGUUAAUCGGAAUUACUGGGCGUAAAGGGCGCGUAGGCGGAUGUACAAGUUAGAUGUGAAAUCCCCGAGCUUAACUUGGGAACUGCAUUUAAGACUGUGUAUCUAGAGUAGAAGAGAGGUAAGUGGAAUUUCCGGUGUAGCGGUGAAAUGCGUAGAUAUCGGAAAGAACACCAGUGGCGAAGGCGACUUACUGGAUUCAUACUGACGCUGAGGCGCGAAAGCAUGGGGAGCAAACAGG